rnacentral:rRNA from 1 species
AUCCUUUAAAGAAAGCGUAAUAGCUCACUAGUCGAGUCGGCCUGCGCGGAAGAUGUAACGGGGCUAAACAUACCACCGAAGCUACGGCUGCGAACUUUGUUCGCGGGGUAGGGGAGCGUUCUGUAAGUGGCUGAAGGUGUGCCGGGAGGCAUGCUGGACAUAUCAGAAGUGCGAAUGCUGACAUGAGUAACGAUAAUGCGGGUGAAAAACCCGCACGCCGGAAGACCAAGGGUUCCUAUCCCAUGUUAAUCAGGGUAGGGUGAGUCGACCCCUAAGGCGAGGCUGAA